rnacentral:rRNA from 1 species
GUGCCAGCCGCCGCGGUAAUACCGGCAGCCCGAGUGAUGGCCGAUCUUAUUGGGCCUAAAGCGUCCGUAGCUGGCUGCGCAAGUCCGUCGGGAAAUCCACCUGCCCAACAGGUGGGCGUCCGGCGGAAACUGUGUGGCUUGGAACCGGAAGGCUCAGAGGGUACGUCCGGGGUAGGAGUGAAAUCCCGUAAUCCCGGACGGACCACCGAUGGCGAAAGCACUUCGAGAAAACGGAUCCGACAGUGAGGGACGAAAGCCAGGGUCUCCAACCGGAUUAGAAACCCUAGUAGUCC